UACAGGGGGUGCAAACGUUGCUCGGAAUCAUUGGGCGUAAAGCGCACGUAGGCGGUUCGUUAUGUCGGAUGUGAAAGCCCUUGGCUUAACCGAGGAAGUGCAUCCGAAACUGGCGAGCUAGAGUACGAAAGAGGAUCGCGGAAUUCCCGGUGUAGAGGUGAAAUUCGUAGAUAUCGGGAGGAACACCCGUGGCGAAGGCGGCUCUCUGGACCAGCACUGACACUGAGGCACGAAAGCGUGGGGAGCAAACAGG
rnacentral:rRNA from 1 species